rnacentral:misc_RNA from 1 species
AGCGGACAAUUCCUCUAGUGGUUAGAGCCCGACUAUUACAGUAACAGAUGCAAUUGUUGAGAAAUUAUACUGGGGAGGUACUUGCUUAUUUAUGACUUUUGUUUGUUUUGUCAUAGAUACUAGCCUUUUGGUUUUGGUUAUGAGUUAUGAUUGCUGUGAAUUAUAACAUGGUAUAGAUGUAGUUCUUCAUUGAGUUUGUCAGUAAGCGUUGCUUCAUUAUUAAGAUGGUUUAGUCAUAUAUAAUGUGGAUAAUCAAAUGCCCUAGUACGAAAGUGUGAUAAUUAGUAGGGGAAAGAGUGAGAGAGGGAAAGAGAGGAG